rnacentral:rRNA from 1 species
UGAGUAACGCGUGAGCAAUCUACCUUAGUUACAGGGAUAGCCCGAGGAAACUCGGAUUAAUACCUGAUAUUCUUUACAUUUCGCAUGAAAUCAAAAGGAAAGGUCAGCCGAACUAAGAUGAGCUCGCGUUCUAUCAGCUAGUUGGUGAGGUAAAAGCUCACCAAGGCAACGACGGAUAGCUGGUCUGAGAGGACGAUCAGCCACACUGGGACUGAGACACGGCCCAGACUCCUACGGGAGGCUGCAGCAGGGAAUAUUGCGCAAUGAGCGAAAGCUUGACGCAGCGACACCGCGUGUGGGAUGACGG